UUAGUGUUCAUACAUGUAUUUUUGCGCAGUGUUUAAGUUGAUGGGUAGAAUUGAUCCCAAAUGUGGUGUUUUUACAACUGAAAAGGAAACAGAGGAGGAGAGAGAAGGUUUUAUGUACCUCCGGUAAAAAUCUGGACAAGAAACUGUCUGGUAUACCAACGACGCAACCUAUUUUAAAUUCGUGAUGUCACGAAUAAUUGCGAAUAUGGUAACGUUGCUCAGCAUUUCCUUAAUUUCGCUCAGGAUUUCCCUAACGUAUUUCCCGCAUUCAAGUAGUUAUAUUGAAACUUAGAAUUACUUUGUUGUCUUAUAAACCUUUCUUGGCCUCGAAAAAGUAUUUAAGAACUGAGUGUUUUUCGUCUUUGUUUGGAAUAUUG